AUUGAACGCUGGCGGCAGGCCUAACACAUGCAAGUCGAACGAGGGGCGGACGGGUGAGUAAUGACUGGGCAACUGACUGAUGGAGGGGGAUAACUACUGGAAACGGUAGCUCAUAACGAAUACCAUCGGAGGGGCCCAGAUGGGAUUAGCGAGGAGGUGGGGUAAAGGCUCACCUAGGCGACGAUCCCUAUGUGGGCUGAGAGGAGGACCAGCCACACUGGAACUGAGACACGGUCCAGACUCCUACGGGAGGCAGCAGUGGUGAAUAGUGCACAAUGGGCGCAAGCCUGAUGCAGCCAUGCCGCGUGUAUGAAGAAGGCCUUCGGGUUGUAAAGUACUUUCAGCGGGGAGGCGUUACCCGCAGAAGAAGCACCGGCUAACUCCGUGCCAGCAGCCGCGGUAAUAC
rnacentral:rRNA from 1 species